CUUCCUUGAGGAUAUUAAGAUGGAAUGGCAGGAAGAUCCAGAGACCAGUAAGAUCAUAAAAAAAUUGGAGGAAACAUCAAGCUCCGUGGCUCAUUACAAUUGGGGCUCAAAAGAAUUACGCUACAAGGGAUGCAUUGUGCUUGUGACAAAUUUUACUUGCAUCUUCAUGAGCAGAUUUUGGAUAAAGUUAUUCCAUAUGCAGGGUACUAAAUUGAAAAGGAGU
rnacentral:lncRNA from 1 species